GCCUUCGUGAUGUAACUGAAACCAUACUCGACGUGUAAUCGAGAGUUCCAGGUUCGAAUCCCGGUCAGGGCA
rfam:Stegodyphus mimosarum contig72988, whole genome shotgun sequence.